rnacentral:rRNA from 1 species
AUGGAGUGGGGCGACGAGUGGCUCGCGCCGGACAAGCUGCAGCACGUCCUCGCCUGCCUCCUCAUCGCCCUCGCCGCCGCCGCGCUCGCCGGACGGAGCUCCCGCCCCUUCCUCCGCCGCCGCGCGCUGGCCCUCGGCUGCGCCGCCUCGCUCGCCGUCGGCGCCGCCAAGGAGGCCGCCGACGAGACCCGCCUCUUCGGGUCCUCCGGCGCCUCGCUCAGGGACGCCGCGGCCGACCUCCUCGGCGUCGCCCUCGCCGCGGGCCUCUUCUCCCUCGCCCGCCGCCUCCGCCGUCAACGGCGCCGGGAGAAGGCCGACGAUACGGACGGCAGCAUCUCCAUGGUCUGA